GACGAACCGUGCGAACGUUAUUCGGAAUCACUGGGCUUAAAGCGCGUGUAGGCGGGAAGGCACGUCCGUCGCUGAAAUCCCCCGGCUCAACCGGGGAACUGGCGUGGAUACGACCUUCCUGGAGGGGCGUAGGGGGACCUGGAACUUCCGGUGGAGCGGUGAAAUGCGUUGAGAUCGGAAGGAACGCCCGUGGCGAAAGCGAGGUCCUGGACGCCUACUGACGCUGAGACGCGAAAGCCAGGGGAGCGAACGGG
rnacentral:rRNA from 1 species